UCUUUUGAGUACUUACGUUUCCUCGGUGGGCUCGCCCGCCGGUUGGACAAUUUAAACCAUUUGCAGUUGCAAUCAGCGUCUGAAAAACAUAAUAGUUACAACUUUCAACAACGGAUCUCUUGGUUCUGGCAUCGAUGAAGAACGCAGCGAAAUGCGAUAAGUAGUGUGAAUUGCAGAAUUCAGUGAAUCAUCGAAUCUUUGAACGCACAUUGCGCCCCUUGGUAUUCCAUGGGGCAUGCCUGUUCGAGCGUCAUUUGUACCUUCAAGCUCUGCUUGGUGUUGGGUGUUUGUCUCGCCUUGCGCGUAGACUCGCCUUAAAACAAUUGGCAGCCGGCGUAUUGAUUUCGGAGCGCAGUACAUCUCGCGCUUUGCACUCAUAACGACGACGUCCAAAAGUACUUUUUACACUCUUGACCUCGGAUCAGG
rnacentral:rRNA from 1 species